ensembl:lncRNA
CUGAGCGGGCACACACGCCGUGCCCGGGCCCUCCCAGCGCCGCUAGCCACGGCUACUAACGACCAUCUGCCUCCCCCGGCCCGCACGCCCCACCUGCCCCAGCCGCGCUGGGGUCCGCAGCCCCUCACGGGACCGUCUCCGCUCCCCUUGCACACAGGAGCCUUGGCUGAUGCUUUAUUCCCUCUGCGGUGGCCACCUCCAGCCGCUGCGCUUUACUGAUCAACCACAGAGUCAUGGCCAAACAGCCUUCAAAUGCAGCCCAAAAAAGGGCCUGGAUUGAGCCAUGUGGGAGCUGGAAGGCUUUGACUCAGGAGCAUGGAAGGGGUCCCAACUGCAGUUUAAAGAUUAGAAGCUACACAUUGAGUGGACUCCUCAGGGCUCCCACUGCAUCCCAAACCCUUGGAAUUAGUGCUGCACAGGCACGGAUGAGAAAGCAGCCCCAUCCCUGUAGCCUGAGAAGACAAAGCAGGUUCUGCACCUCCUCCAUAGCCCAAGGCUGGACACAAGCCACCCAAAUAUUUUCAAGCUCAGUUCAACACCAGCUCAGGCCCACCUCAAGCUGUUUGAUCUGUGAGCAAACACUCUUUAUCUAUAAGCAACCUGCUCUUUCCCAACUCCCCGCAGCAGGAAUGCAGCCUCGGCUGUUUCCAGGCAGAAGCUGCCGCACACAGCCCUGCAAUUCCCCAACAUGCUGACUUCUUCUGUCCUGAUUAUUUUAUUGAUCUGCUCUACAGAAUGGAGGGACUCUAUCCCCUUUUUCCUAUUAAAUGCAGCCUGUUUUUCUAUAAAUUGAAUUUAUAGAUUAUUUAUUGACAUUUACACUGACACCCUUCAUGUGAGAUUUACACUGACACCCUUCAUGCCAUUGAUUUUCCCUGUUUGCGCAAUCCUGAUAGUCCAAUGCCAAAACAUUAAAAAAAACCAAAAAAAACCCCAAACAAACAAAAAAGCCCCCAAAAAUAUUCUUUCCAUCAUGAUCAUGUUCAGCAGUUUAUUACUGCUGCUUGCACCCCAGGUUAGCAGCAACCACUGUAAAGUUCUGCCUUGGAUCAGACAUUAAAAAAAAAAUAAGGUAAAUAUUUCAUAUUAACACGAAAGCAUUUGGGUUUGGAACAAUUCAGAACAUUCUCUGCUGUCUUGUGAUUUGUACACUCAGAGCUGGCCAGGACACAGCCCUUUUUCUGACUUGUUGUGUGACUGCUUUGAAUUCCUCUGGUCUUAUACCAGCUUCCCAAUCCCAGCUCAUUUUGGUCAAUCCUUGAUGGCACCAGGAGAAUUGAGCACUUGUUAAUGCAGCACUUGCAGAGCUUCCUUCUCCCCUGCCCUUCUUUUGGACAGCUCAAAGCUCUCAGUGUCACUUCAGCCGUCUGGGAUAGGACCUCUUGUACCUCAGAGGGUAAAUUUAGCACAGAUAUUUCUGAAAGCUGCUCACUUACAAGGCACCCCUGGCUGGCUUACAGAGAAGGGAUGGUUUGAAUCUAAAAAGAAUAACUCUAAACUUCUGUCUCCAUUAUUUCAGUGCAGCUACUCAUCGUGGAAGCUCUGAAUUCCCCACAUACACUGAGCCAUCUGCUCUAUUUAUUAUACCCAAAGACGUGCUCCAAAAAUUAUAAAAUCCCAACGAGACCAAAAGAACACAGAGAAAAAAUUCCCAUAGUCUGAUAUUCCAUCUGUGCAGCUUUUCCACUGCACACA